rnacentral:rRNA from 1 species
GGAACGCGAAGAACCUUACCAGGUCUUGACAUCCUUUGACAAUCCUAGAGAUAGGACUUUCCCUUCGGGGACAAAGUGACAGGUGGUGCAUGGUUGUCGUCAGCUCGUGUCGUGAGAUGUUGGGUUAAGUCCCGCAACGAGCGCAACCCCUAUUGUUAGUUGCCAGCAUUCAGUUGGGCACUCUAAUGAGACUGCCGGUGACAAACCGGAGGAAGGUGGGGAUGACGUCAAAUCAUCAUGCCCCUUAUGACCUGGGCUACACACGUGCUACAAUGGUCUGAACAGAGGGCUGCGAAACCGCGAGGUGAAGCUAAUCCCUUAAAACAGAUCUCAGUUCGGAUUGCAGGCUGCAACUCGCCUGCAUGAAGUUGGAGUUGCUAGUAAUCGCAGAUCAGAAUGCUGCGGUG